CACUGGGUGACCUUGGUGUAGCUGAGUUCAAGGAAGAUGUAGGCGAGUGUGUGACAUUGCGAGGAGAAUCAUGAUUACCAUCAGACACCUUUCUUUCUGUUGACUGUUUUUGGUUUUGAGAACUAGUGGAAGAGAACACCUUGUCGUGUUUAGUGCCACCUUUAGCCGAAUCAUUAGAUGUUUGACGACUGAAGAAACCCUUCUUUUCACCGGUACCACGUGAUUGGUGUGGCGGUGAUGACAUUGCUCCAUCCAGUAUGGCAUUGUGUGGUUUAGGAUUUGGAAGACCAGACGCCGACUUUCUGCCUUUAAGCCAGUAUGUUGUCAUUUCACCCUUGCCCUUGACUUUAACAGUUCCCCGACAUUCAAACUCGUACCAGUCAUUUAAGGCUGUUUUGACGUCUUCAGUUGUCUGAAAUUUUAAAACAAUUUGCAGUUAACAACAUCGCUUUUCUAACGGUACAAGCACCUUUAUUACGGAUGAUACUAGUAAUUUAAUACCAAGGUUAUUGCAACACACAGAAACUAGC
rnacentral:sRNA from 1 species